rnacentral:rRNA from 1 species
UACGUAGGGGGCAAGCGUUGUCCGGAAUCAUUGGGCGUAAAGCGCGUGUAGGCGGCCCGGUAAGUCCGCUGUGAAAGUCGGGGGCUCAACCCUCGGAUGCCGGUGGAUACUGUCGGGCUAGAGUGCGGGAGAGGCGAGUGGAAUUCCUGGUGUAGCGGUGAAAUGCGUAGAUAUUGGGAGGAACACCAGUGGCGAAGGCGGCUCACUGGACCGGAACUGACGCUGAGGCGCGAAAGCGUGGGGAGCAAACGGG